ACGCUCGACACCUACGGGAGCAGCAGUGGGGAAUAUUGCACAAUGGGGGAAACCCUGAUGCAGCGACGCCGCGUGAGCGAAGAAGUAUCUCGGUAUGUAAAGCUCUAUCAGCAGGGAAGAAAAUGACGGUACCUGACUAAGAAGCACCGGCUAAAUACGUGCCAGCAGCUGACGUAUNGNGCGGNNGANAG
rnacentral:rRNA from 1 species